AAAGUCCUUUGUCUAACAGAUCAUCUGAGGGGGGGAGGGAAAGAAGAGGGUCUAGGGUUAGGUUCAGUCAAUUAGGUCAGUCUUAUCUGGUACAGAAAUUGUCUAGAUUUCCUUUGUGUACUGUAUUUUCCUCCCCUUCUUUUGUCUAUACUUGUAGUGAUGGAACUCUUAAAAAACCCUUUUGGAAUAAAAGAUGACCCGUUCCCCUUCUUCAAAAAGGGUUUUUUAAGAGU
rnacentral:misc_RNA from 1 species